rnacentral:rRNA from 1 species
AGUAAUAUAUCGGAACGUACCCAAGAGUGGGGGAUAACGUAGCGAAAGUUACGCUAAUACCGCAUACGAUCUAAGGAUGAAAUGGGGGACCGCAAGGCCUCACGCUCCUGGAGCGGCCGAUAUCUGAUUAGCUAGUUGGUGAGGUAAAGGCUCACCAAGGCGACGAUCAGUAGCUGGUCUGAGAGGACGACCAGCCACACUGGGACUGAGACACGGCCCAG